rnacentral:sRNA from 1 species
ACCACCACUCUGAAUGUAGUGCACACUUAAGAAUUUAUAUGGCUCAGCGUUGAGGCUGAGACAUGUUCUUUUAUAACUUGUGACGUAGCGAGCGUUUGAGAUAUCUAUCUAAACGUGUCGUUGAGGCUAAGGCGGGGACUUCGAGUCCCUAAAUAAUUGAGUCGUAUGUUCGCGUUGGUGGCAUUGUACCCCACACAACACGGCAUGUGAUCCUGAGGCAACUUGGGGUUAUAUGGUCAAGCGAAUAAGCGCACACGGUGGAUGCCUAGGCGGUCAGAGGCGAUGAAGGACGUGGUAGCCUGCGAAAAGUGUCGGGGAGCUGGCAACAAGCUUUGAUCCGGCAAUGUCCGAAUGGGGAAACCCACUGCUUCGGCAGUAUCCUGCAGUGAAUUCAUAGCUGCUGGAAGCGAACCCGGUGAACUGAAAUAUCUAAGUAACCGGAGGAAAAGAAAUCAACCGAGAUUCCCUAAGUAGUGACGAGCGAACGGGGAACAGCCCUUAAGCUGGAAUGGCUUUAGAAAAACAAUCUGGAAAGAUUGGCCAUAGAAGGUGAUAGCCCUGUAUUUAAAAGGGCCACUCCAGUGAAGACGAGUAGGGCGGGGCACGUGAAACCCUGUCUGAAUAUGGGGGGACCAUCCUCCAAGGCUAAAUACUCCUGACCGACCGAUAGUGAACCAGUACC